CCUACGGGCGGCAGCAGUGAGGAAUAUUGGUCAAUGGGCGAAAGCCUGAACCAGCCAAGUCGCGUGAAGGAUGACGGCCCUACGGGUUGUAAACUUCUUUUGUCAGGGAGCAAUUGAGCCCACGUGUGGGCUUAGCGAGAGUACCUGAAGAAAAAGCAUCGGCAAACUCCGUGCCAGCAGCCGCGGUAAUACGGAGGAUGCGAGCGUUAUCCGGAUGUAUUGGGUUUAAAGGGUGCGUAGGCGGAAUAUAAAGCCAGCGGUAAAAAUUCGGGGCUCAACCCCGUAGGGCCGUUGAAACUGGUGUUCUUGAGUGGGCGAGAGGUAUGCGGAAUGCGUGGUGUAGCGGUGAAAUGCAUAGAUAUCACGCAGAACUCCGAUUGCGAAGGCAGCAUACCGGCGCCCAACUGACGCUGAGGAACGAAAGCGUGGGGAUCGAACAGGAUUAGAUACCCGGGUAGUC
rnacentral:rRNA from 1 species